UACGGGGGGGCAAGCGUUGUUCGGAAUUACUGGGCGUAAAGGGCUCGGUAGGCGGCCAACUAAGUCAUACGUGAAAUCCCUCGGCUUAACCGGGGAACUGCGUCUGAUACUGGAUGGCUUGAGUUCGGGAGAGGAUGCGGAAUUCCAGGUGUAGCGGAUGAAUGCGUAGGAUAAUCUGGAGGAACACCGGUGGCGAAGGCGGCAUCCUGGACCGAUACUGACGCUGAGGUGACGAAGCGUGGGAGCAAACAGGAUUGAGA
rnacentral:rRNA from 1 species